CCCCUCUCCACCGAUAAAUGUAAAAAAAAAAAUUUUUACCGCACGGAUUUCUUUUUUAAUAUAAUUCAGAUUUGACGCCAUUAAUGUUGUGGCUUUAGAUUGUUUAGGUGGAGAAAUAAUGGAUAUUUGGAAGGUUGACAUUAAGGACUGCUUUAGUGUCAAAUGCUUCUCUUUUCCUUUGACCCUUAUUGGAGCUGGAUGGUAACGUAGAGACAUCUGUAAAUGUUUUUCCUGUUUUGCAGAAUUUAAUUGCCUAUAAUCUAUAUGCCAUGUAUGUGGAACAUAAAAUAAGUUGUACUUGACUCUUACUCCUAAUAAAA